rnacentral:SRP_RNA from 1 species
GCUAGGCGCGGUGGCACGUGUCUGUAGUCCCAGCUACCAGGGACCCUGAGGCUAGAGGAUCACUUGAGUCCAGGAGUUCUGGGCUGCUGUGUGUGCACUAUGCCAACCGGGUGUCCGCACUAAGUUCAGCAUCAAUAUGGUGACCUCCCGGGAGUGGGGGCCCACCAGGUUGCCUAAGGAGGGGUAAACCGGCCCAGGUCGGAAAUGGAGCAGGUCAAAACUCCAGUGCUGAUCAAAACGUUUUCUAAUGAUACUUCCAUCUGCUGAGGGAAGAGGGAGGCACACUUCAUCAAUAAGAGUACUUGAUCUCA